AGGCAAAGCCGGGAGAAACUGCUGAGACGAGGUUAGGAUUUAACCUUUAAAUUCUGGAGCCAUCGGAAACCGAGGGGAGGACGACGGGUGUCGGUGCUAAUGAGGCUGGGGGCGGGCGAUGCGCGGUGGGCCUCCGAGUCCGGGGCAGGUCUCGGGGGUUCCCCGGGGAAGGCCCUGGGAGCCCUUGGCCCUGGCGGCCUCCGCCAUCAGACUGGGAAUGUCUCUGAUUGGGUGGCCAGGAGGCGGUGGCCCUCCUCCCCGCCCAGCUGAGGGGUGUCGUCUUCCGCGAAGUUAGGGUCUCACCUGGGAGGCAAGGAGGGAGGGGGCUGCCUGAGGCCCUGGGCCCCUCCGGGACUGGCGCACCCCGUCUCACCCACAUUCCUUCGCCUUUCCCUGCCCAGUGUGGAUUUCCAAAACCCAUCCCCGCUCCCCUCCUUCCUUCAC
rnacentral:lncRNA from 1 species